AUAUACAUAUAUAUUUUAUUGUUAAACAAUAUUGGAAGUUUAUUUGUCUCCAGGCUUUAUGAAUUCCAUACAAUAUUGCAAGAAAACACCAAAUAUAUAUAUUAUUUUGUUUGUUUUUAAAGUGAAGAAUCACAAUAACUUUCAUAGUAAAGAGAAUAUAAGUAUAUUUGUGGGAUUAAAUGCAUAAUAUUUUUUCACAGCUAAUUGUAGGCUUCAAAGUGCCUUUCUUCAGUGCAGAGUUUCAGCACUUCAUGCUCAUAUUGAUGAGUGAAGAAAGUGAAGUUGUAAAGCAAAUUCGAAGUGAUUUUACACUGGGGCUUCUAAAUGACUGAGAGCUGUAAGUUUUUUGACUAAAACUACUUUACAAAUGGCAUUGUUUUUGAGGUUAUGUGGGAAGUCAAGACCACUAAAUUUUACAAAUUACAGUGAAAAUAAAAUGUGUAAUAAAUGUGUUAACAUUAACGGAGAGAUGGAAAAAAUGUCUGUUCUUAACACAGGAAAGGUAGAUCCCAAAGCCAUUACAUUGCUGAAAUCAUGGCACUGUACAGCUGUGCCACCAAUGCAACUUCGACAUGUAAGCAGUCUCUGUGUAAUAAAAUUUCCUAGGAUGAUAAUAUCCCAAAGAAAUAUGUGAAUGCAAGGUAUCUGUAAAUUCUUCAUUAUGCAUAUAUUUUCUGAAAGGUAGAAGAAAAUGAAACUCUUCCAAGAUAGACUGUUUGAUAUAACAACAAGUGAGAUUUCCCAUUGAUAAGAAAAAUGUGGCAAAAUAUACUGCAGUGCCCCACAGCUCUACCCUCCUGACUAGUGGAGCAAAGCAAUUGUUUUUUGCUUUUGUCUUUAGUGACAGCAUCAAGCAACAGAUCUGCAAUCAGCUUCUUACACUAGUCUGAAGAAAAGUCUAAGAUGUAGUCACAGGUUCAAAACAGCUACAAUAUUGAGAGAAAUUUAGUCCCUGGAAAGCAAAUGCAGUCACCCCCUCAACAAGCUUCAGUGAAAAUAGUCAGAUUUUAACUAAUGAUCCAAAAUGUAAUCACAAAUAAACGACUUGGGGCAUUUAAUUUGAAGAAAUAACUAUUUUUUUUUAUAAAUAGUUUACUUAGUGCAACCCUUGAGAUGUGUACCUCAUGUUCCACUCAUGUAGGAGUUUUGCAAGAUUGGAUAGAAGCUUAAAUGCUUUCCCUGGCUUUCUAUAAGCUACGUAGAUUGCUCUGUAAAUAAACGGGUCAAGUCAAGCAUCGUAAAAAAUCUGUACAUGGGUUACAGUGGGUGACAUUGCCAGUGUAAGAACAUCAACACGAAUGUAUCCCAUAGGUUCUGUUCUUCAGAAGAAAGGAUUGCUUUGUAAAGGAUUUGAUCGAAACACAGAGAACUGUGGAAACACAUUUAUUUGUGCCUUUUAUAAUUGGUUAUUAAACCAAAAUGUAUAGUAACAAAUUCUGAAUAAAUAUGACUCUUUUA